ACAUACGACCAUAGCCGCCUGAGAAUUCUGGAUCCCGUCCGAUCUCCGAUAGAAAAACAGGCGAGCGCCGGAUUAGUAGUUGGGUCGGUGACGACCAGCGAAUACCUGGUGUUGUAUGUU
rfam:Villosiclava virens strain TV-8b Sca_24, whole genome shotgun sequence.